GACAGAGGAUGCAAGCGUUAUCCGGAAUGAUUGGGCGUAAAGCGUCUGUAGGUGGCUUUUUAAGUCCGCCGUCAAAUCCCAGGGCUCAACCCUGGAAGUGCACUCGAUACUGGCUCGCUAGAGUACUGGAGAGGUUGGUGGAAUUCUCGGUGUAGAGGUGAAAUUCGUAGAUAUCGAGAGGAACACCGGUGGCGAAGGCGGCCAACUGGACAGAUACUGAUGCUGAGACACGAAAAGCGUGGGGGAGCAAACAGG
rnacentral:rRNA from 1 species